GUGUUCCCUUUAUUUUUUUGAGCAGUGUAUAUUUUUUACCUCCUCAUUCGGAACUAUCCUCACCUGUCGUUUAACAGCCGCAAUAGCGGCAAUAUUGUGAAUGAGUCAACUAAGGACAGUUUCUGAGUUCUAUUGAAUCGCUAUGUCUACUCUCUCUGUUGGCUUAACACCAGACUUCAUCAGAAAGAUCUGGUACAUUUUCAAGGACGGGAAUCUUGGGGAGAACAUUGGGCUGUAAAAACAUGUGCGCUGAGCACAAUUAUAAGCUGUUCUAUCAAAAUGUGCUCAGCUCAGCCUCUUGAUUAAUAAUUUGAUUGGCAAGUGAAAAGUGCAGUGUCCUUGGACAUAGAAUCAUUCUACCAGCUACCCCGCAGCCUUCGUGCUUCAAAUCUUUGUUUUGGUCCCAUUCACAGCUGGAACACUGCAGUGAUUCAAAAUGAACUGCACCUUUGCCAACAAUGUGAAAGUGACGUGACAGAUGCCGCAAACGCACACGAUUUUCUCAGUCACAUGACAUUUUAGUUAUUCUGCACGUCACGCAUUAGGCCUAAUGAAUUCAAAGUUCUUUGAGAGACACAAAAACCUGUCAGGUCUAGAGAGCAGCUAGUUGGAGCUGUAAUCCAGUGGUUUAAGUGGAAGGGGAAGCGACAUGAGAAGAUUGCAAAUCUGCCGGCUCUACCUCCUCCCCAUUUUACUGUGUGCUGCCGUAUUUCUCAACACACUCUGUCAAACAGCGGACAUGAAAACAAGAUCUUCAACUGAUUUCCUUCCAGAAGUGGACAGGGAUAAAAAAUUAAAAAAAACUGAUGAGUGAUUUACAAGAGGUGCUUGAAAGGUUAAAAAGCAACAGCGGUCCGUAUCAAGGAAAUAAACACAGUCAGCUGCCUAUGGAGAGCUGUGUGCUUUGAGGAAGGGUCCAAGGAUCGGAAACUGUGUGACUGCCGAAUACCAAGAACGUGCAAUUCAUUUCUGCUCCGCUGUUUAUGAUGGCACCUCUGCUAUUAUAUUCACUAUGCUGUUUAAUAUACAGAUACUGGCAAGAACAUGGCCUGUCCUAGACAGUGUGAGAGUCAUUUGAAAAGUUUGAAUUCUAACCAUUUUUUUUUUUUCAAACUCUGUUUCUGUUUGUGCCUCUUAUGUUCCUAUGCUGUGUACAAUGUGCUACACAAAUAAAAUGAUAUUGGAUGUGACAUACUGGUGAA